rnacentral:rRNA from 1 species
ACCCGCUGAACUUAAGCAUAUCAAUAAGCGGAGGAAAAGAAACCAACAGGGAUUGCCCUAGUAACGGCGAGUGAAGCGGCAACAGCUCAAAUUUGAAAUCUGGCGUCUUUGGCGUCCGAGUUGUAAUUUGCAGAGGGCGCUUUGGCAUUGGCGGCGGUCCAAGUUCCUUGGAACAGGACGUCACAGAGGGUGAGAAUCCCGUACGUGGUCGCUAGCCUUUACCGUGUAAAGCCCCUUCGACGAGUCGAGUUGUUUGGGAAUGCAGCUCUAAAUGGGAGGUAAAUUUCUUCUAAAGCUAAAUACUGGCCAGAGACCGAUAGCGCACAAGUAGAGUGAUCGAAAGAUGAAAAGCACUUUGGAAAGAGAGUUAAAAAGCACGUGAAAUUGUUGAAAGGGAAGCGCUUGCAGCCAGACUUGCCUGUAGUUGCUCAUCCGGGUUUUUACCCGGUGCACUCUUCUAUAGGCAGGCCAGCAUCAGUUUGGGCGGUUGGAUAAAGGUCUCUGUCAUGUACCUCUCUUCGGGGAGAACUUAUAGGGGAGACGACAUGCAACCAGCCCGGACUGAGGUCCGCGCAUCUGCUAGGAUGCUGGCGUAAUGGCUGU